rnacentral:rRNA from 1 species
GACAGCAGCAGCCACGGUAAUACGUAGGGUGCGAGCGUUAAUCGGAAUUACUGGGCGUAAAGCGUGCGCAGGCGGUUAUAUAAGACAGAUGUGAAAUCCCCGGGCUCAACCUGGGACCUGCAUUUGUGACUGUAUAGCUAGAGUACGGUAGAGGGGGAUGGAAUUCCGCGUGUAGCAGUGAAAUGCGUAGAUAUGCGGAGGAACACCGAUGGCGAAGGCAAUCCCCUGGACCUGUACUGACGCUCAUGCACGAAAGCGUGGGGAGCAAACAGGAUUAGAUACCCGCGUAGUCCCUGUCUCUUAUAA